rnacentral:rRNA from 1 species
AUGGAAGUGACGGCGGACACGACGCCGUCCUGCUCCGGAGGCCUGGCGGCGCUCGCUGCCAGCCUCACAAGCCGCCUCGCCGUCACGGUGAAGAACCGGUCGUCGUUUCUCUACGCGAUUUUCUUCCCGUCUCAAAAGCAAGCGAUGGAAGCGACGGACGCGCACUACUCUAAAGUGACGGGGGACACGGCGCCGUCCUGCUCCGGUGGCCUGGCGGCGCUCGCCGCCGGCCUCGUGAGCCGCCUCGCCGACGACAACAAUGCGGGAAGCAACCUGGUGUUAUCGCCGCUGUCCAUCUACGCGGCGCUCGCGCUCCUGGCCGCCGGCGCCCGGGGCGCCACCCAGGACGAGAUACUCGGCGUCCUCGGCACGCCGUCUCGCGCCGCGCUCGACGAGUUCCUCUCCGGCGUGGCGGAGGACGCGCUCGAGGACCACUCCGAGUACGGCGGGCCGCGCGUCGCGUUGCGUGCGGCUCCGGAGGCGGCGCGGGGUCAGAUCAACGCGUGGGUGGCGCAGGCCACGAGUAACCUGAUCGGCCCCGUCCUUGGCCCGGGAUCCAUAACGCGGCUCACCCGCGUCGUGCUCGGCAACGCUAUAUACUUCAAGGGCAAGUGGGAGGAUCCGUUCUACAAGGAGGCCACCGCCAACAAGCUGUUCCACCGGCCCGACGGCAGCACCGUCGACGUGCCCUUCAUGCAGAGCUGGAGUUCCCAGUUCAUCGCCGUGCACAAAGGGUUCAAGGUGCUCAAACUCCGGUACCAAAUGGCUCAAGGGCAAGGCCGACACGUCGAUCGUAUCAAGCGUACACAGUUUUCUAUGUGCAUCUUCCUCCCGGAUGCCUUCGACGGCUUGCCGAGCCUGGUCGACGCGAUAGCAUCCCGACCUGGCUUCCUGCACAAGCACCUACCGAAGAGGAAGCUCGAGGUUAGGGAGUUCCGGGUGCCCAAGUUCAAGCUGUCCUUCCACAGCAGCGAUGUCACCGUUUUGAAGAAGCUGGGGCUUCAGUUGCCGUUCAGCGAUCAAGCCGAUCUGUCUGACAUGGUGGAGCGUGAUGAAUCUGACUUGCCAUUGGUCCUGAGUGACGUCAUCCACAAGGCGGUCAUCGAGGUAAACGAAGAGGGCACCGUAGCUGCUGCCGUCUCCAGGAUGAAUAUGGAAAUAGGAAGUUCUAUCACGCGGCGGCCGCCUCCUCCUCCUGUGGAUUUUGUAGCCGACCACCCGUUUGCGUACUUCAUAGUGGAGGAGGCGACCGACGCAGUUGUCUUUGCCGGGUGUGUACUCGACCCGUCUAACGAGGAUUAG